AAAUAAAAAAAAUUAAUAAUUUAUAUUAUAAUAAAAAUAAUUUUAAUAUUAAAAUAUGGGGGGUUUAAGUAUUUUAAUAGAAAAAAUGAAAAAUUUUAUAAUAAAUUAGUAUAGUAAUAGAAAUUUGAAAUAAAAUGAAAAUAAAAUUAUUUAAAAGUAAAUUUAAUUUGUUGUAUCUUGUGUAUCAGAGUUUAUUAAAUAAUUUAUAAAAAUUUAUAUAUCUCGAAUUUAAAAGAGUUAAUUAAUUAAUAAAUUUAAUGUGAAAUAAUUAUUUUAAAUAAUUAAUUAGAAAUGAAAUGUUAAUCGUUUUUAAAUAUAUCUAGUUAUUUCAGAAAAAAAUUUAAUUUUAAAUUUAUUAUUUAUUUAAAUUAAUUAAUUAAUUUAAAUAAUAUAUAAAUUUUAUAAUUUAAGGGAUAAGCUUUAAAUUAAAUAAUUAUAAAGUAAAAUUAAAAUAUUUAAAAUUUUUAAAAUUUAUAUUGUUUAAAAAUUAAAAUUUUUUAUAAAAAAUUUUAAAAUAAAUAAAAUUUAAUUUAAAUUUAAUUUUUUAUAAAAAUAAAAUUUUUAAUAAAAAAUAAUUAGAAAUAAUGAUAAAAUUAGUAUAAAUAAAUUUAUAAAUGGAAUUAAUGAUUUGAAUAGUUAAAUAAAAGGAAUUCGGCAAAAUUUUAUAUUCACCUGUUUAUCAAAAACAUGUCUUUUUGAUUUAAUUUAAAGUCUAAUCUGCCCACUGAUUAUAAAUUAAAGGGCUGCAGUAAUUUGACUGUACAAAGGUAGCAUAAUCAUUAGUCUUUUAAUUGAAGACUUGUAUGAAUGAUUUGAUGAAAUAUAAACUGUCUCUUAUUUAUAUUUAAAAUUUAAUUUUUUAGUUAAAAAGCUAAAAUAUUUUUAAAAGACGAGAAGACCCUAUAGAGUUUUAUAAUUUAUAAAUUAAAAUAUUUAUAUAAAAUUUUAAUAUUAUAUUUUAUGAAGUAUUUUAUUGGGGUGAUAAAAAAAUAAAAAAAACUUUUUUUAAAAAUAUCAAAAAUAAUUGAAUAAAUGAUCCAAAUUAAUGAUUAAAAGAAAAAAUUACCUUAGGGAUAACAGCGUAAUAUUUUUUUUUAGUGCAAAUAAAAAAAAAAGUUUGCGACCUCGAUGUUGGAUUAAGAUAAAAUUUAGAUGCAAAAGUUUAAAAUUUUGAUCUGUUCGAUCAUUAAAAUCUUACAUGAUCUGAGUUCAAACCGGUGUAAGCCAGGUUGGUUUCUAUCUUUAAAAUAAUAAAAUAUUUUA
rnacentral:rRNA from 1 species